rnacentral:rRNA from 1 species
ACCAUGCAGUCGAGCGGUAAGGCCCUUCGGGGUACACGAGCGGCGAACGGGUGAGUAACACGUGGGUAACCUGCCCUGUACUCUGGGAUAAGCCUUGGAAACGAGGUCUAAUACCGGAUACGACCUUCAACCGCAUGGUUCGGGGUGGAAAGUUCCGGCGGUAUGGGAUGGACCCGCGGCCUAUCAGCUUGUUGGUGGGGUAAUGGCCUACCAAGGCGACGACGGGUAGCCGGCCUGAGAGGGUGACCGGCCACACUGGGACUGAGACACGGCCCAGACUCCUACGGGAGGCAGCAGUGGGGAAUAUUGCACAAUGGGCGAAAGCCUGAUGCAGCGACGCCGCGUGAGGGAUGACGGCCUUCGGGUUGUAAACCUCUUUCAGCAGGGACGAAGCGCAAGUGACGGUACCUGCAGAAGAAGCACCGGCUAACUACGUGCCAGCAGCCGCGGUAAUACGUAGGGUGCGAGCGUUGUCCGGAAUUAUUGGGCGUAAAGAGCUCGUAGGCGGUUUGUCGCGUCGGCCGUGAAAACUUGGGGCUUAACUCCAAGCUUGCGGUCGAUACGGGCAGACUUGAGUUCGGCAGGGGAGACUGGAAUUCCUGGUGUAGCGGUGAAAUGCGCAGAUAUCAGGAGGAACACCGGUGGCGAAGGCGGGUCUCUGGGCCGAUACUGACGCUGAGGAGCGAAAGCGUGGGGAGCGA